UACGUAGGUCCCGAGCGUUGUCCAGAUUUAUUGGGCGUAAAGCGAGCGCAGGUGGUUUAUUAAGUCUGGUGUAAAAGGCAGUGGCUCAACCAUUGUAUGCAUUGGAAACUGGUAGACUUGAGUGCAGGAGAGGAGAGUGGAAUUCCAUGUGUAGCGGUGAAACGCGUAGAUAUAUGGAGGAACACCGGUGGCGAAAGCGGCUCUCUGGCCUGUAACUGACACUGAGGCUCGAAAGCGUGGGGAGCAAACAGG
rnacentral:rRNA from 1 species